AGUGAACGCUGGCGGUAGGCCUAACACAUGCAAGUCGAACGGCAGCACAGUAAGAGCUUGCUCUUACGGGUGGCGAGUGGCGGACGGGUGAGGAAUACAUCGGAAUCUACUUUUUCGUGGGGGAUAACGUAGGGAAACUUACGCUAAUACCGCAUACGACCUACGGGUGAAAGCAGGGGAUCUUCGGACCUUUCGCGAUUGAAUGAGCCGAUGUCGGAUUAGCUAGUUGGCUGGGUAAAGGCCCACCAAGGCGACGAUCCGUAGCUGGUCUGAGAGGAUGAUCAGCCACACUGGAACUGAGACACGGUCCAGACUCCUACGGGAGGCAGCAGUGGGGAAUAUUGGACAAUGGGCGCAAGCCUGAUCCAGCCAUACCGCGUGGGUGAAGAAGGCCUUCGGGUUGUAAAGCCCUUUUGUUGGGAAAGAAAAGCAGCAGGUUAAUACCCCGAUGUUCUGACGGUACCCAAAGAAUAAGCACCGGCUAACUUCGUG
rnacentral:rRNA from 1 species